AAGGGUGAAAAACACCCAUGAAAACACAAUGAAAAUGCCGCCAAUUGUAGGAUGAAAACUAAUUAAAAUUCAUGCAUAUCUUUGAUUUCAUGAUCAUCUAAGCACAAUAAAGCAUAGGGCGUGAAGGAAGAAGGUACAAGUCAAUCCGGUUCGCAAGCAACACAAAACAAAGGUAAAGCCGUACUCUAAACGGCGCGCUACGCUCGGAACGAACACACUCCAUGAUGCCCUUUACGCGUUUCCGGUUUAUGUUUAGUGUCAAUGGGUCAAACUACUUUUGGAUUGUAAAUGUCGUUUUAAAUGUUUAUGUCUUUUGUAAGUAAGUUUAAGGUUUAUACUUUAAAUAUGUUAGAAUUGGUCAAAAUUUAUAUUAAGUUACGAAAGUUCAAAA